rnacentral:lncRNA from 1 species
AGGUGGGCAAGGUCAGAAACAGAAUCAGGGUAAGGGGAGUCGGAACAAGAUCUGAAGCCGGGUGCUCGAUUUCGUAUGCAAGGAAAGAAAGUCAAUAAUGAGUUCAAAGAGACAGCUCUAAAGUGAAUGGUUAUAGUCUUCAGACCGGGAGUACUGUGGCGUAGUAGUACUGUUGCAUCAGUAGUAGGUAGUAGCCAUAGGAUAGGUAGGCAAGCUAGAACAUCUAUUUCCUCCCCUGGUAAGUACUGUUAGAGUGUUAGUGUAAUCCCGGUAGUCCAGGUAGUACGAGUUGACAGAGGAGACCCCCCUAGCUCCUGUUCGAAAGUGUAGUAGGCCUAUUCGCCAGUGAGAAAGAGAGAAGCAACAGAGAGAAUAGUUAGAAGUUGCCAUAGCUCGUGGAGUCAUAGGUAAUAGUCAGCAUCCCGUAUUGGUUCAACCAGUAAGCAUCUAGUAUUGGUAUGAACUCUAAGGUCUCGAUUCCCCACAUCUAGGUACUCAGUUCAUUCUUUGCCAGUAGUUUAGAGUUGCUAGUUUGAUUCUGAUUAUAUGUAAACUAACCACUCCAGAAAUGAAGUAUGUAGGGUUCAACCUGAAUUCUUCUCCUAGUGAAGUCAACUCUAUUCUCUACCUUUCUUACCUUGAGCAAGUCUAUAAGUAACAAGUACUAUCGGUAUUCAACUCAAACUAACUAACUUGUAAUACUCAUCUAACUCAGGCAAUAGGGUGCUUAAUACUAAGAUAGUAAAUGAAGAGGGGCACUGGUAUCAGGCUUAGAUGCCCUGGGGUUAAGGCUGUUACUGACCGGUUUCAGGCUUAGCCCCUACCUUACACAACUCUAAACUCCCCUCUCUGACAAGGAUAAGAACAAGUAGGAAAUUCCAUAAGCAAUAAGUGGUAUGGUCUGCCCUGUAUUAUAGGAGAAAACGGAAUUAGAAGCUCUCUUAGGUGGACUUCUCCAGCUUCUGUAUCAAAGUAGGAAUUACUGAAUUUCACUAACAACUAGUAAUAAGUCAUUUAAGAAUUCCACAAAUAAGUCACAGAAUUGACCUCCUUCUCGCCAAACUCCCUUUGACAUAGAUGCUUGCCCGGCCUGGCCUCUACUUAGUCAACUCCAUUCUUAUUGUCUGCCUACCUCAACUCAAGCUUUCAUUAUAUAUUAGGCCCGCUCUUGCUUCUGUUGUAACUACUGAUUCUCGGGUUACUCCUGACUCCGCCUUCUCUUGGGAGUCCUGUCUUCAUGGCGGUACAACAGGGCACAGGAAUAGUUGAAAAGACUCUCACUUUAUAUACCGAUCUUUGCUUCACUGGCUUGGGCUUAUACUCCUUACUUCCGUCCUUACUUAUGCGUAUGCGCUUUAGGCUGCUACUGCUUCAUCUAGGUCUACCGCUCCCUGCUGAUAAAGUCAGUCUGUCGUUCCCUUAGCUUGGUCUACCUCUCUUUGUUUUGAGUAUUACUUUCCUUACUAGAAUUCUUUACUUGCAUAUUCAAUCUUUCGGGCAGGAAUCCGACUACUCACCAAUAAGACUUACCCCACUCACCGGGGGAAUACGAAUACUACUAUGGAAUACAGUAACCUAUGGAAAUACUAAUACCACCAAUAAGAGUUGAGCUUGGAACUAAGACUUGCACUAUUGAUCCGGGGAUCCUUACUUAUGAGGUUUAAGACCUUACCCUGUCUUUUAUUCUUUCACUGCAGGAACCAAGGCAGCCCCGUUGUCCACUUCAUUAUUGUAUUGAUAGCGUGAGUAUGCCACUAUAGGAACAUGAUCCGGAUGCCCACUACUGAAAUUGAUAUGUGUUUUUUCAUAUGAUAUUCAAUAGUCGUUUUCGUAUAGUAACUAGGUCGAAAAGGGUGACUUUUUCUUCUCUUUUUGGAGCCAAACAACUUCUCUUUUUCUAUUGGACUGGACGAUAGAGCUCUAGUUCCGGCUUCACUGAAGGAUAGGCGGGCCAGCAAUAUGGGCAAGUAGUUUACCAAGGAUACAAGAUGCCGGGAACCAGUAAUAGAAUAAAAGUAAGUGAAGCAAGAUCCGAGGGUAAUAGGCGAAGGCCGGGAAGGCGAGACAUACAUUCACAUUAUGAGGGCAGCUUUAGCUGCCAGCGAAUCCAAGUAAUUAGUAAAAGACUUUAGUGUGCUAGGGAGGGAAUUCCACUCUUAAGUAAGAUACAUUGGACUGGGAAUUAAUAAUGGAACUAGGACUUCUCAGAACCAGCACCCCAGAAUACAGAAUAUACUUACGCCACUGAUUGAUGAGAAUCGAAACACCCGCCUAGCCUAGCAAGACCAAGAAAGUAGGGUCUAAUUAAGAGUAAGCCUGUUUGACUGCAGCUAUAUUAUAAAAAGCAGUAGAUCAAUUCUCUGUUUCGAGUUAAGGUCUCGCCAGAACCUAGAACUAAAACUACCUGGCAAAGACAACUGCAAUAAAAAACAACAUAUAGUAUAUUUAUGUAGAGUUCUCACUUUAGAUGUGUUCGGCCAGUCAGUAAGUCGCCGUAGAGUAUAAAGGGCCCUUUACUGACUCCAAGGCUACCUUGCCUAUCUAUUACUCUUGGACUUAUUACUUCGAUUCUUCUAACACCAACUAUAGGCCUUCUCCCCUUCCAGUACUUGCAUUAUUUAUUGAUAGCUCUAGUCUGCUACUCCUCUGUCCCAGGCUUGCCUUACUUUAUCUAAGACUUACUUGUUUGACUCUAUUACUUCACUCAAUAAUCAUUGUUAGUCGAGUGGUUGUUUGGCGUUUAGUAGUGACUUUACCUGUCCUCGAUUCGUUAUUUUGUUUCCAAGGCUCUAACCAAUACAACUCGGCCUUAUACCCCAAACGGAGAAGCCAACUACAGCUCAUAGGGCUUUCAACCUCAACUAGGAGCCCUACUACUAAUAUCAGACCGGAGCUACUGGUUCUAAUACAAUAUCUGGGAAUAAAUCAACUUUCAGCAAUACUACUCGGACCUUCCCUAAAAUCUGACUUGCAAACUUCGACUCCGCUCUUGCAUUCUAUGAUUGUAGCUUCAAUCUCCUUUGCGCGGAUUGCUAGGAACUACUGGCCCGGGUAUGACAUGACUUUCUCUUUAUAGAAUAUAUAGGAUUGAACUGGCGCUAACAGGACAAUAACUAGAACCUGGGACCUCCUAGUAAGCAGGAACCAAACAACUAUACCGGAGAAUUUCGCUAAUAAGUAUAGGAUCUAAGUGGAAACAAAGGUGCUACUUAUACUUAAAUGAACAACUGGGGAUCGAACACUGCCUAGCAAGACUCUCACUAUUGCUUUUAGAGUACAACCACUAGCGAUAAGAGUUGCCCCCACUAAUUAGACUCCUUUAUCCUGUUAUGUUGCUAGUACCCUUCAUUCUAUAUUCGUAGCUUCAAACUUCUACUAGUAGCUCUUGACCUGGCAUUCCUUGGUUCUUAUGCUCCUCGGUGAAACCAUUGCUUCCGUGUUUUAGUAUGUAUUACUUCCCUUUCUUUCGUUCUGAAACUCAAUACUUGCAUCCUAUCUCCUAUGUUCGAUUGUCGGCCUACUACCAACUUACUCCUAUCGGAAUCAAACUAGGAAAUCCACUCGGUGAGCUCAACCCGGGCCAAGCAAAUAAUACUAAAUGAACUAAACUCAAAAAGGGGCCAGAAUAUUAAUGACACUACAAACAAGACUCUCGCAGCUGGCUUCCACGAAGAAAUAAAAGAAUACAGAAUUGGCUACUUAUUCCACAUGGCAUAUUUCCUAGAUACAAUACAGAGUAGCGGUAUUUACUUAAGCCUUCCUUUCAGUCCCUUGUGCCCGAGUUGGUGUCUAGCACCUUUCCUAAUAAUAAUGAAUUGGAUCACUGCUCCCUUGUCUAUGUGCCUCACGCUACUUACGGAAAUUAUGUAUUAUCACUUUUGCUCUUCUACUACUAGCUACCAGAUUGAACCGUGCCUAACAGACACCAGUGUGCUCUCUAAGACGACUUUCGCCCCGGCUAAUCAGAACAACGUCAAUUGUCAUAGGGAAUAGGAACAGUUACAACGAGACUUUACUGGCGGAUACAGAAUUCUACUUGUAACUAUAGGGCUGAUACUGCCGAUAGAAAGAUGGAAAAAGGAAAACAGGAAUCCAAUUGACUACUCCGCCAACUCACUCUUACUUUAAUGCCUAUAAGCCUGGCGCGCUACUGACUUCGAAGCUGACCUUAACGAACCAUACCCAUAAACUCCAUUCUGUAUUUCAAGAUUCAGUAUUACAGGACCCCUGGCACACCCUUUGACUAAUGAAUUGGAUUUUUGCUUUCCAACUGCCAACUAAUGGUUUCUCGUUCUUGAGCUACCGGCUUGGAUUCUGUAACUGGAAUACUGGGUAUUGUAUUUCACUAUUACAAAGUAGAACUGAGCUACUACUGAUUAGACUGCUCCACCACUAUAUCAAUGUUUAAACACAUUAUUAUUAAGUCAAUGAAAUAAGGCAUUGAAGAAAUCCAAUAUAGAUUCAAGUAAGUAAGGGAAGGCUAACUGGCAGAAGGGGCAGACGCAGACUCGGAUAAUAUGCAAUAAGUAUGGCAUGUCGGGGGGAGACAUUAAUAAGGCUUGGGCUACUCAGCGCCAUUCUUAGAUUGGUGAAUUGACUUCUGUAAGUCAGGUUUUGUUCCAUAGUAAGUUGAAUCUCUUAGAGCGCUGUUCUACUCUUUGACUACUCGGUUUCAUUAGAACUUUACUACUUGAAAGAGAUAUUCUAUGGUGGAUUUACAACUUUACAGAAAUAGGCAUAGGUGGGCGAGAAAGAGUUCCUACUCUAGUUCUGGUUCGAGUUAUCUUCUUAUAGUGGGUAGUGGAAUUUCUAUUGGGUAGUUUCAUAGUAUUCUUUGCUUGUAUAGUAGUUACUCGUCGUCUUGGUGGUCUUAUUUUGACUAGUUGAAAUACCGGGUUAGAGUUAAAGCUAUUAGGCUACGUUCUUUUACUGCCUUCCUUGAUUCUAAGUUAGAGUUAAGGUCCCAUCCGUACUAGCCAGCAGCUGACGCUGCCCUCUCCUUAUUAAGAGCAUAGUUCUCUAGGCGCCGCCGCUUUGUAAUUCCUUAUUUGAAGACCGGAUCAGCUGUUAAAGAACGAAAGCAAAGAGAUAUGGAUGUCGUGUCCGAGUAGUUGGAAUCAAAGUAAAGGUAGCUAGACUUAAAGCAAGUAAGGAAAGGCUCACUUCUGACCUGAACUAAGUAAUGUUAUGUUAGUCGCAGUUGGAUUCCUGCUUGAUAGAUUCGGUCUUGGAAGUAAGUGCGAAAGCCUGUUAGAGUAGCUUGCCUCUUGUUGUCAGUAGAUUGAUUCCUCAUUAAUAGAGAGAUUACCCACCUAGGAGAGAAGCCUUGUAAGCACUAGUAGAAUUCCCUAUAUGGAGUUAUCGUAGUAUAAGCCUAUGAGCCCGACACCCAUUCUGACCUUCCCUGCCUGAAAUCUAGAACUAUCCAUUUGCAAACUGACAUUGCUUGAUCUUAUUCUGACUAUCCGAUAUCCGAUUCUGACUCGCUAGGUUGAGUAUCCUUCCUGGGCUAUCAACAACAUAAUUGGAAGAAAACCACCACCAACAGGACUUCCGCUCAUACUACUUUGAUUUAUACCUGGGCCAGCAAUACCUCAAUUCUUGACUACUCUCUUAGGAAACCAGUUGUUUGUCUCGUCUUCUCAUUCUUUAGUUAAUGAUCGAUCCGUUUUACUUACUUCAAAGCUAAGCUGGCUUUCCUUUAUUUACUCCGAUACUAGUACCGAUUAGACUUUCGCUAUUGAUCUCAAAGCUUGCUCCACUGGCUAUGUGCCUCCCCUUCCCUUCCCAAACUCUGACUCCUAUGACCUUCAAUACCUGUGUUAGAGCAUCAGCCUGUAGCAACUGCCUAAAAGUCUGGAAGUUAGUCCCUUCCUACUAGCUCCCUAGGCGCUCUGACUUGAACUCCCUUCUUGCUGUACAUGCUUUCAAUCUUAUAUUCCUUUCUCUUGGCCUGUGACUCAUACCUUGUUCUCCGCCUAUGAAGCCUUACCUCAGCUAUUUAUCUACUGAAUCGGAUCCAGCUUAACACUAUCCUUCUGUGCUUCCAUUCCCGGGCUUCCACCUGUCACCUGUCAUUCUUUAUUCACUCAUUAGGGCUUAGACCUAGGCCUGUCCUGUUAUUCCUAUACUAUAUAAAUAAGUAAAAGAGUGAACCUACCUCUCGCCCACCUACGCACCCCUCCCUAUGAAAAGUAGGAAAUACACCUAUACGCCUAUGCCCCACCAACGAAUGAAACAAAGAAGUCAGACACUCCCCACCCACUAACUCGGGCUAACACACCGCUAACCGACUUGAACUAGUGGGCAAGCAACGUACAAUCAACGUACAACUAAGUAAGAGCCAAAACAAGUAACAACUAGUCAAGCACGGAACGAGACCAACCCUACUCUACUAUAUUGCAUUGCGUGUAUCAAGGGUAGAGGUUUGAUAUUCUAAAUCAGAAUGAAAUCAAUUACUUUAGAGUUAAUCCUAUGUGUUUAGCCUGGAAAUGCAUCUAGAAAUGUAUAAGUAGAAGAUCGAAGCGGAAACAUCAGAAGUUCACUCAGAAGUAAGGAUACCUCUGUCUAAGUAGACCAAUAAUAAUAUAGCGUACACAUAAUCAGAAUUGAGGCUUAACUACUUAACUUAGGGCCGAUGUAAUUGAGCCAACACCAAUGAGACUAUAGCCCAGAACUUGUACUUCCCUUACUGCCAUAUAAAGCGGCCCUGCUCCACGCAAGAUAAGGCUAACUGCCCUCACCUUAAAACUGCAUUUCAUCUUCGAUUCUUAUAAUGUAAACAAAACUCUGGUCUAUCAGACUCACUACCUAUUCACUAAGUCUCCCUUUUCUAUAUCUCCUUCUGUUACGGGACCCACCUAGUGCAUCUAACAAUAGAUUAUAGCUCUACCCUUACUUGCUAGAGAACUCAGCUUACUACUAAAGGAAUGACUUCUAUUUAUAAGAGAACAACUUGAAAGUCAUAUUGACUUGACCACCAACAAGACUGACUUUACUAGCGGGUAAAUCCACUGCUGCUAACAGGGCUUUUGUUAACUGCUAUCAGAGUACUACGACUACCAAUACUGGAACUGGAACCGGGAAUCCAACACCCCAGUCUAAUACCUGGAACAAUAAAGAAAGAAAUCCAUUAGUGCUUCUCAGAACGUAGCUACUGCCUAUGAAAGAAAGCCUACUGCCACUAAAGAGCUUGAAGUCCUUGGCCACCUUCUAUGGUUCUUCAACUAACUAAAAACCAAGAAAAGAACAAAGAAAUUGUACUCGGGGAGAUGUAUAGAGACUACUCCAGCCGGUAUAUAGGGCAAUACUCACUACCAAGAGCAAACAAAGCUUUAAAGCAGUAAUAGCUUGCAAGGUAGACAGGAGCUGCAUCGCAGUACACGAGUACAUACACAUUAACGCUCACGGGGGUGUAGAACAAAUGUGCUCCAACCAUCUUGCAGAGGGGGAAGUCGCUCAUACCGAGGGAGAUAGCCUAUCACUCUUAGAAUUCGCCUACGUACCUCUAAUAAGCACCAAACGGAUGAAACUCAACCUAACCUAGCGCUUCUAAGCCAACAACAAGAACAGGAACAGCCAAGGAAAAGAGGUACGCAAGGGAGACAAUUCCAUAUAUGAAGAGCCAGAUCUUGUAACUUCAAUUGACUUAAGGGCUUGACUUGCAACUUCAAUAAGAACAGGAACAGG